GAAAAGGUUGCAUGUCCCGACUUCCUUCGGAGCUACUAGAUUUCCAGGAAUUUCCUAUACAAAAUACCCAGAGAUUGCGAAUCGUAUUGCGUAACGGGUUAAAUGCAAUGAUUGGAAAAAUAUGCUCGAUGAAGAAUGAAAGAAAUAACAUCUUCUGGAAAUGGUAGAAUGACAAUGUAGGCAGAUGAUGUUUGUUAAGACCUACCUGAAUUAUUAUGAUUCUGAUUCUCGUCAGCAAAGUAAGCCAUGUUAGACACGCCUGCAAGCAUGAGCCAUGCAAUGAUCAAUAUGUAUUCAAGCAGAAUAAUAUUCCAGUACAUUUUAGAGCUAAAGUUCACGAUGAAAAACGAAUUUUAUGAUUUAACAAUGUCGAAUUGCGAAUGCGAAUGUAUGAGAAACAUGCUUAUUUUUUUUUCUUCGUACAUUCUUCAUUUUGAGGCAUUCAUAUAAUUUAUGAGGUAAUGAUAAUUUUUUUUAUUUAUUGCCAGUUAUUUAUUCUUGGAUGCAUGCGUAAAUAUACGUGUGCUUUUCUAAUGAAAUAUUUCGCACCUUAUUGUAUGCAAACGAUGCAUUAUAUGCAAAUUCGUAAUAAACAAUUUAUGCACUUGAUAACGGAA